rnacentral:lncRNA from 1 species
AUGACUAAUCCCACUUCCAACACCGAUGGAGAUAACCCCUCUCCUGCUCCCACCGUACUUCCAUCUCCCAUUGUGACCUCCAUGCCCGUUGUCAUCAACAUCAAAUUAGAUCGAUCUAACUAUCCACUCUGGCUAGCAUAGAUCGUUCCCAUCCCGAGAAGUCAAAACCUCAUGGGGUUUGACGACGGUACCUGUGUCUGUCCACCACCCACUCUUACUGGAGGCACUGCGGCCAAAACUGCGUACUCUACCUGGAUUCAACAGGAUCAGCUGAUCCUCAGUUGGAUCAAUAGUUCCCUUACACCAUCCGUGUUGUCUACUCUAUCUAGAAAUCAGAAUGCUCACACACAUCCUGGCAAGCCUUAGAGAGUAGAUAUGCCUCCACGUCCCAGAACAGGAUUUUGCAUUUGCGAAAUGAAUAUUCAGAACCAUGAAGGGUGAUUUGUCUAUCAAUGACUACCUCGAUCAAAUGAAUGCCAGUGCAGACAACCUGGCUCUUGCUGGAAAGCCAGUCAAUGAUGAUGAACUUGUUCAGAUUAUCAUGAACAGCCUUGGUCCAACUUAUGAUAUGAUUGUCAGUGCAGUUCAAGCUCGUGAUACACCUAUCACUUAUGAUACUCUUGAAGCUCUUCUCUUGACGGCUAAACGUCAGAUGGUGGAGCAAGUUGUUCUGAUGCCGAAGAAUGGACCAUCGGCUUUUGUUGCUGCUUGUGGACACGGUGGUUUCCAUCCUCGAAACUUUGGACGUGGUGCUGUUUCGCCCACUCGUGAAGGCUUUCCAAACCAGCGAGGGGGUUCUUCUCGUGGUACUUUUUCAACUCAGCAUACUACCAAUUUGGGGAGUCUUCAGCAUCGGCUACUCCAAGAAUUGUUUGCUAG